AGAGCUCAGAGCUCUCUGUCCAUUCUUCAUAUUUAAAACAGUGAUUACUAUUCAUGACUGAAUGAGGUCAUGGAUCAGCCUGCUAUAAGAGGUUAGUCUGGGAGGAGUAUGAACUGGGAGGGGAACUGGUCCAACUGGUUGGUUCACCAUUUCCUUGUUAUGAGUCGGAUAGUUUGGUGUUGCUCACUUUGACACUGUAGGAAGAAGACUAAGAUACUGUAGUCCACUCUUAUCUGUGAUAUAUCCUAAAUAUGAAUAACUUUGAAUCUUAUCAGUAGGUUGAUCAUUUUUAAGAUUCCUGCUCUGUAGAAUGAUAUCUGUAAGACUGUGGGCAUUAGGGAUCGAACCCUGAACCUUCCAACCUGGAGUCAAGUGUCAGGUUGACAUUAAUAAUGACUUUUUCUUCUUAUGUCCUUGGGUGACAUUAAAGGUACUUCGGACAGAAUGUACAGCUGUUAUAUUUGUAGUGCAGUAUUAUGAUAACAUUAUUUAGACAGGAAGACGAAUAUCUUGCUUUGUGAAGGUGUUUAAACGUCUUCUCUUACCGGGUCUUGUUCUAUGUGGGCCUGCCUCACAGAUCUGGUUGUGAUGUCAUACCACAUGAGGAAGUCCAUAUAUGGUCCUGCUUUCAGAGCGGUUUAACCAGCACAGGUAGCAGUUGGCAUGAUAUCCGCACGGUGAACUUGAACUUGACCUCACUUUGUAGCCUUUUGAGACUUUCUGUGUUGAAUGAUUAUACGUUAUUAAAGAGUAUAUUAGCAACGUCUUGGAAUGAGAAAGUCUAUGAAUCUGCGUCUAGGAGAGACCCUGCCUCUUGUCCAAAGUUAACAGAGAAAACAGCCCCCUGCCUCCAGUCUACUAUGGAUGAGGAGAGAGAGGAGGGGGGUCCUACCUCUAAGACCACUCUGUCUGGGGAACAUGGCCGCCGGAGCAAAGCUAAGAGCCCAGAGCGGCAGCAGAGAGCAGACUCCCCUGGACCCAGCUGUGUCUCCAUGAAGAGUGACCGGUCUAUGGAUCAUCCUUAUAGCUUUAAAGAUGGACGGCCCUCCAGAGAGGAGAGAAGGAGGCAGCAGAGAGCAGACUCCCCUAGACCCAGCUGUGUCUCCUUGAAGAGUG
ensembl:lncRNA